AAGAUAAAUUAACUUUUCUGUUGCAGGUAGUGAAAGCUUCUGUUGUCUUAGCUCUACCCUUUAAGUCCUACAACCCAGAGAAAUUAACUCUUGAGUUUCAGGAUCAUGUGAAAAAACAAUUGCACCUUACAAAUAUACAAGAAAGGUGGAAUUUGUUGAAGAACUCCCAAAGACAAUCACUGGGAAAAUCAAACACAACGUUUUAAGAGACCAAGAAUGGGAACAAACAUAGCUUGAUAAGAAAACUAGAGGGUUAAGUAGUAACAUGAUUGCUUUAUCUCAUUAUUUGUUCCUGAUAAUUCAGUGACUACUCUUAAAAUGUUUAAAAUCCUUCCUGGUUGAAAUUUUUGUUGACAUUUUGUUUUGCUUUAAGUUUUGUUUUCUACUUAGUUAAAAAAUUUCAAGUAAAUAAAAGUCUAAAAAUAUAUGGACGAAAGUUGUUUUAAGAACCAAACUGACAAAGGUAUUGAUAAUGUGUUUAAAUUAAUAUGAUAUAGUGUUUAAAAUAACAGGAAUCAAAUGAUUACUCAGAAAAAGAAUGUACACAGUGAAUCUUUUUAUUUAUCUUGUGCCUGAUUAAUUCAAGAUAUACAUCCUAAGAUAAAUGUUCAAGACAAUUUCUUCUGCUUAACAUCUUUAUGAGAUCAAACUUCAAGACAUUAAAAUACUGUUAAAAUGAGUACAAAUAAUUUAAAACUCAGUAAGUGAAUUUAAUGAAAUUACAUACUGUAUUACUGUACCUCAUUUUGAAGCAAAUUAACUGUAAAAUAUCUGAAACUUGGAUUUAGGAGUAUUCAUUAUUUGAGGGUAGUUAAUAUAUUUUUUAUAUCUUUCUUUUUAGGAUCAUGUCCAUGACUUUUUAUAAUUUGACAUAUAAACAUCUUUUAUGAUAUACAUAUAUAUACACUAUAAAGAGAUUUACUAAGAGGCAGAAAGGAAGAAAAAUUACAGAACACCAAUUUGUAGGGAACAAAUUUAUUUUCAUUUUUCUGAAAAUAUCAGGAACUAUGAAAAACAAGCUCGACAUUUGGCUGUACCAAAAGCAAAAUACAAGUAAAAAAUAACACUGGAAAACCAUGUUUAACCUUAGAUAAACAUAUUUCAAAAUACAAAGUUUAAUACUCUUUCCUCUAUGGAGCUAAACAAGUUUUAUAAACCACAGACUGCAGUUUUUUUGUUUUUAACCGACGUCAUUUUUAAAAAGAAAAACUAAAGGGGAAUAAAAAGUACUUACUUCCUACCCUGGAACCUCAUCAUUUAUAAAAUAACAUGUUCAAAUUUCAGUGAAAAUAAACAGUUGAUAAACCUGAAAACAAAUCUUUUAAUGAAUUCAGGUUACAACCAAGCACAGGAUUUUGUAGCUGGGAAAGAACAGCCUGUGUAACUACUGAGCCUUACCAAAUACAAAUAAAUAUAAAAGGCAAUUAAAAACAAACUAUAAAAUCAAAAUCAUUCCAUAGAGUAGCAGCUUCCACAAAGU